rnacentral:tRNA from 3 species
GGAGGGAUACCAAAGUGGCCAAAUGGGGCGGACUGUAAAUCCGUUGCGGAAUGCUUCGAAGGUUCGAAUCCUUCUCCCUCCACCA